AUUGAACGCUGGCGGCAUGCCUUACACAUGCAAGUCGAACGGCAGCACGGGUGCUUGCCCCUGGUGGCGAGUGGCGAACGGGUGAGUAAUACAUCGGAACAUGUCCUGUAGUGGGGGAUAGCCCGGCGAAAGCCGGAUUAAUACCGCAUACGAUCCACGGAUGAAAGCGGGGGACCUUCGGGCCUCGCGCGAUAGGGUUGGCCGAUGGCUGAUUAGCUAGUUGGUGGGGUAAAGGCCUACCAAGGCGACGAUCAGUAGCUGGUCUGAGAGGACGACCAGCCACACUGGGACUGAGACACGGCCCAGACUCCUACGGGAGGCAGCAGUGGGGAAUUUUGGACAAUGGGCGAAAGCCUGAUCCAGCAAUGCCGCGUGUGUGAAGAAGGCCUUCGGGUUGUAAAGCACUUUUGUCCGGAAAGAAAUCCUUGGCUCUAAUACAGUCGGGGGAUGACGGUACCGGAAGAAUAAGCACCGGCUAACUACGUG
rnacentral:rRNA from 1 species